rnacentral:rRNA from 1 species
UACAGAGGGUGCAAGCGUUAAUCGGAAUUACUGGGCGUAAAGCGUACGUAGGCGGAUAUUUAAGUCAGGGGUGAAAUCCCAGAGCUCAACUCUGGAACUGCCUUUGAUACUGGGUAUCUCGAGUAUGGAAGAGGUGAGUGGAAUUCCGAGUGUAGAGGUGAAAUUCGUAGAUAUUUGGAGGAACACCAGUGGCGAAGGCGGCUCACUGGUCCAUUACUGACGCUGAGGUGCGAAAGCGUGGGGAGCAAACAGG